UCGUGGGGCAGCAGGGCUGUAGCAAUACAGUCGCUGGCGACCGGCAAACGGGUGCGGAACACGUACACAACUUUCCUUCGAGUGGGGAAUAGCCCGGGGAAACCCGGAUUAAUACCCCGUAACAUAAUGAGGUGGCAUCACCUUAUUAUUAUAGCAGCAAUGCGCUUGUUGAUGGGUGUGCGGCUGAUUAGGUAGUUGGCGGGGUAACGGCCCACCAAGCCUACGAUCAGUAACUGGUGUGAGAGCACGACCAGUCACACGGGCACUGAGACACGGGCCCGACUCCUACGGGAGGCAGCAGUAAGGAAUAUUGGUCAAUGGACGCAAGUCUGAACCAGCCAUGCCGCGUGGAGGAUGAAGGUCCUCUGGAUUGUAAACUUCUUUUAUCUGGGAAGAAACCCAUGGAUUCUUCUGUGGUUGACGGUACCAGAUGAAUAAGCACCGGCUAACUCCGUGCCAGCAGCCGCGGUAAUACGGAGGGUGCAAGCGUUAUCCGGAUUCACUGGGUUUAAAGGGUGCGUAGGCGGACAGGUAAGUCAGUGGUGAAAUCUCUGGGCUUAACUCAGAAACUGCCGUUGAUACUAUUUGUCUUGAAUAUUCUGGAGGUAAGCGGAAUAUGUCAUGUAGCGGUGAAAUGCUUAGAUAUGACAUAGAACACCGAUAGCGAAGGCAGCUUACUACAGAAUGAUUGACGCUGAGGCACGAAAGCGUGGGGAGCAAACGGGAUUAGAUACCCUGGUAGUCCACGCCCUAAACUAUGGAUACUCGACAUCAGCGAUACACUG
rnacentral:rRNA from 1 species